GUGGAGUGGGUGCGAGCAGGCGCUGGAUGUCAGAUGGUUGAGGCGUUAAUGGGAAGUCCUGGGAGUAAAGUGCGGGUAGGUGGUUACGUAAGAGUGGUGUGAAAGCCCCGGGUUUAAACGUGGAAUUGUGUUCAUAACUGGUGAGCUAGGGGACGGUAGGGGGUAGUGGAAUUUCCUGUGUAGCGGUGAAAUGCGUAGAUAUAGGAAGGAACACCAGUGGCGAAGGCGACUACCUGGACUGAUACUGACACUGAGGUGCGAAAGCGUGGGGAGCAAACAGGAUUAGAUACCCGAGUAGUC
rnacentral:rRNA from 1 species